rnacentral:rRNA from 1 species
UCGAGAGGCUUUGGCAAUGGGGGAAACCCUGACCAAGCGACGCCGCGUGGAGGAUGAAGGCCUUUGGGUUGUAAACUCCUUUUGUCGGGGAAGAAAUGCGAUCAGGUGAAUAAUCUGGUCGUUUGACGGUACCCGGCGAAUAAGCUCCGGCUAACUCCGUGCCAGCAGCCGCGGUAACACGGGGGGAGCAAGCGUUGUUCGGAAUCACUGGGCGUAAAGGGCGUGUAGGCGGUCAUGUAAGUGGAAUGUGAAAUCCCUAGGCUUACCCUAGGACCUGCAUCCCAAACUGCAUGACUUGAGUACGGGAGAGGAUGAGGGAAUUCCUGGUGUAGCGGUGAAAUGCGUAGAUAUCAGGAGGAACACCGGUGGCGAAGGCGCUCAUCUGGCCCGUUUCUGACGCUGAGGCGCGAAAGCUAGGGUAGCGAACGG